CUAGUUUUUAGUCCAGUUCAGUUUUACCUGAUCUGAAGAAGGAAGACACACAAACACUCUUCAGAGAACAACAGCGGGACACAAACACUCUUUACACACUUCAUACGAGUAGAAUGGGUGUGUCCAGCUCUAAAAGCAGUGUGUUUAUCAAAGAGGAAAGAUCCAGAUCUGACUCAGUGCUGUCCCUUAAAGGCCUGAAGGGGGCGUUUAGGAAGAGGAAGAAGAAGAAGAAGAAGGCGCCUCUGUUUCUGAGGAAGUUGUCACCAGGCAACAAGAAAGAGGCUCUGUCUCUAAGGAAGCUGUCGCUAGGCAACAACAGGAAAAAGGCUCCGUCUCUAAGGAAGCUGUCACUAGGCGACGCCAGCAGAGUUCUACAGCCACUGAAGAACCUUUCUCUCAAAUGAGUUACGAAAAACACAAGCUACACAUCCUUUCAGACCCACAGCGCUGAGUCGUCUUCUCACAG